rnacentral:rRNA from 1 species
ACGAACGCUGGCGGCGUGCUUAACACAUGCAAGUCGAACGGUGAAGCGAGUGCUUGCACUCGUGGAUCAGUGGCGAACGGGUGAGUAACACGUGAGUAACCUGCCCAUCACUCUGGGAUAAGCACUGGAAACGGUGUCUAAUACUGGAUACGACCAACCCUUGCAUGGGGUGUUGGUGGAAAGAUUUAUCGGUGAUGGAUGGACUCGCGGCCUAUCAGCUUGUUGGCGGGGUAAUGGCCCACCAAGGCGACGACGGGUAGCCGGCCUGAGAGGGUGACCGGCCACACGGGGACUAGGACACGGCCAAGACUCCGCCGGGGGGCAGCAGGGGGGAAUAUUGCACAAGGGGGGAAAGCCUGAUGCAGGGACCCCGGGGGGGGGAAGGCGGCCUUGGGGUUUAAACCCCUUUUCCGGGGGGAAGAAGGGAAAGGGACGGUACCGGCAAAAGAAGCACCGGCUAACUACGU